rnacentral:rRNA from 1 species
UGGGGAAUUUUGGACAAUGGGCGAAAGCCUGAUCCAGCAAUGCCGCGUGUGUGAAGAAGGCCUUCGGGUUGUAAAGCACUUUUGUCCGGAAAGAAAUCCUUGGCUCUAAUACAGUCGGGGGAUGACGGUACCGGAAGAAUAAGCACCGGCUAACUACGUGCCAGCAGCCGCGGUAAUACGUAGGGUGCAAGCGUUAAUCGGAAUUACUGGGCGUAAAGCGUGCGCAGGCGGUUUGCUAAGACCAUGUGAAAUCCCCGGGCUCAACCUGGGAACUGCAUUGGUGACUGGCAGGCUAGAGUAUGGCAGAGGGGGGUAGAACUCCACGUGUAGCAGUGAAAUGCGUAGAGAUGUGGAGGAAUACCGAUGGCGAAGGCAGCCCCCUGGGCCAAUACUGACGCUCAUGCACGAAAGCGUGGGGAGCAAACAGGAUUAGAUACCCUGGUAGUCCACGCCCUAAACGAUGUCAACUAGUUNUUGGGGAUUCAUUUCCUUAGUAACGUAGCUAACGCGUGAAGUUGACCGCCUGGGGAGUACGUCGCAAGAUUAAAACUCAAAUGAAUUG